AUUGAACGCUGGCGGCAGGCUUAACACAUGCAAGUCGAGCGGAGAUGAGGUGCUUGCACCUUAUCUUAGCGGCGGACGGGCGAGUAAUGCUUAGGAAUCUGCCUAUUAGUGGGGGACAACAUUCUGAAAGGAAUGCUAAUACCGAAUACAUCAUACGGGAGAAAGCAGGGGAUCUUCGGACCUUGCGCUAAUAGAUGAGCCUAAGUCGGAUUAGCUAGUUGGUGGGGUAAAGGCCUACCAAGGCGACGGUCUGUAGCGGGUCUUGGAGGAUGAUCCGCCACACUGGGACUGAGACACGGACCAGGCUCCUACGGGAGGCAGCAGUGGGGAAUAUUGGACAAUGGGGGGAACCCUGAUCCAGCCAUGCCGAGUGUGUGAAGAAGGCCUUAUGGUUGUAAAGCACUUUAAGCGAGGAGGAGGCUACUGUGACUAAUACCCUUGGAUAGUGGACGUUACUCGCAGAAUAAGCACCGGCUAACUCUGUGCCAGCCGCCGCAGUAACAC
rnacentral:rRNA from 1 species